UACAGCUCCUCGCGUCCUGGUGUCCCCAAGCGACCGGGGAAGGAGCUGGGGGUGCUGUUUGCAUGGUGACCCGAGCCCCUUGCGUUUCUCUCCAGUGGGUGCGGUUUCCCACGCUGAGUCCCGGCCCUGGGUGACAGCCACAUCUGACUCCCGGGGCCUGGCCUAGGCCCUGGAGUUGGGGAACUGGCUUGGAGGUCUGUUUACCACUCCUGACCGCGAUGUGCCGCCCAUCACGCCCUAAGCCUCAGCCUCUGCCUCUGCACACCCAGGUCACAGCCUGCGGCUAGGGGUGAGGAUCCAAGAGCACGUCGCCGCCCAUGGCAGGGGUCUGAAUCUCUCCUACUUCAAAUUGUGCGUGUCAGGCGUUUUGUACCAGCAGCAAGACAAGUGACCAGGACGCCCUGCCUGUGUGUGAGUCUGGUUUCGGCAUGAGUCAAAACCUGUGACGGCAUACUGAACAUCACCGCUAGCAACGUGCAGGGCCCUCACAAAAGGAAUCAGUGCCUUGUGAAUAAGGGGCACUCAGAUGCCGCAUGCCCUUCUGCCAUGUGACCUUGUGGUGACAGAAGGCUCCCUGUGAAGACCAGAAAGCUCCAGCUGCCGAUGCCAGUGGCGCCUUGGCCGUGGGUGCCCAGCGACCAGAACUCCCCGAGGUCAGCUUACAAAUGGCUGCUUCUGGAGGUUGCACGUCUGAUUCCUUGUCUCCCACCAGCUUCCUGCUGGUGACACUCGGAAUGUGGUCACAGAGACUUCCCAGGAACCCGAGGGCCACUUGUGCUGAGGAUGCUGACCUUCUCUUGGGGCUACAGAUGUCCAGCAGUGACUGAAGCGGGGUGAAAAGCUGGGCACCUCUGCCUUCCCACUGGGCCUGUGCCCUUUGCUGCCUUUGCCCUUGAGUCAGAUUCUGCCCAGCUCUGCACAGAGACAGGUGAUCAUUUCAGAAGAGCCUCACCCAGGUGCACAGCACAGGCGGAACCUGGUCAGGUCUGUCGCUUCUCGCAGCUGUGCUGUAGCUGCCAGGUGCUUGGGCUUUUUCAGUAGCUGGAGCACUAAAGUCCAUCAGCCCCAUCCUAAAGCCGGGACAUCUAUGCCGAAGAUGUCACCAGCGGUAGGAGUAACUCAGCAGUUCCUCAGCAAAGCUGACCCCCUGGCCUUGACCACUAAGCACAAGGCCAGGGUGUUUUGUAGGGGGUGAUGGUACUAGGUACAGGAUAAUUUGACAGUUUCUAGAACAAGUUGACUGUGACCACCCAGAGGCCCAAGGUCAUCUCAAGAAGAAAUGUCGGCAGGGCAUGGUGGUACAUGCCUGUAAUCCCAGCACUUGGGAGGCUGAGGCAGAAGGAUC